GGGGCAUGCAGAACCUGGCCGGGGCAUACAGGAAAGAUGCACAGCCCAUUUCUAUGCACUAUAAAACUCUUAAGUCACUUUUAUCCUGAACAGUCACUGAGUCCAGGCCACAGGGAUAAAGUCUGUUGCAUACUUCCAUCUUUGCAGGAUAAGGCCCUGAGAUCUUAUUUCUGUGCAAAGGCUCUGGAGGUUCUAUUACACAAAGUUAAUACAAAACACCAACAACUUAACAAUUUUUAUAGGGAAAAUGAUAUGCUAUAGUUUACCUUAUUGGCUACUGAAUUCCGGUCUACAAAGCACACCGUCCGCAGCUGGGAUGAUUAAAUUAUUUGAACAACACAGUUUACCUUUUGGCAAAUAAACUGCUUUAUGCUGAUUCUUCCCUCUAUCAUUUCAACUGUUAGUGGAAAGUUACUUUAAGCAGCACGUUAUUGGAGGGUGAGGGAAAGGUUGCCCAAAAGUGUUGGCAUUACAUACAGCUAAAUUUAGCAGCUCCUAUUCAAGUAGGAUCCACAUUGAGAUCCAUAGUCCUCUAAGGAUUAGUCAGAUCUUUAAUGCAUGAGAAAACAUGUUAGAAGGACCGCUAUAUACAUAGAAUAGGUCACAGGCUGGAUUAAGCAAUUUAAAAGUGACUUAUAAAGGGCCCCUGUACGGAUUUUAAACAAACACCAACUGCUACUCUAUUUCUCAUCCCCUGUUAAGAUGUGCCCCUGGAAGUCUAAAAAUAAGGGUGAAAUGCUGGUCCACCAAGCUUCCCAGCACAACUUCCAUUAUGAACACCCACUGUCCUUCCUUAGCAGCUGUCCUAUCCAGUUCUUUCCCUCCUCUCCCUAAUGCACCUGACAUUGGCUUAGCUGAUUCUAUCUAGCUCCUCAUAUAUACAGAAUCAAACAUGCAAUUCUAGCCUUCUUCCUACAACCUCUCUUAGUGAAGUGCAGUGCUCUGAGAUGCUAUAAAGCAGGGGUGCCCAACCUGCAGCAUGUACCACAAGUGGCAUGGGAGUCACUGUCUGUGGCAUGCAACAGAUCAGGGAGGAAGCAGGGAACACAGUGGCCAAUGGGGCAGGGAGCAGAAAGCAGAGCAACAGGUCAGACAAAGGAAAGGGAUUGGGGCGGUAUUCAGGGAGGAUGCAGGGCUCACUUUUUGGCAGAUGCGUCACAAAGGUUGGUCCCCACCCACACAAAAGAUGAUCAACACGAAUCUGAGGUGACUGCAUUAUUCACAAGUGGGAGAGCCACAAAUGAGUUAUGCAAGUCUUUCCAAACAAGCAUCCUUGUCUUUCACCUGCUGGUCUUUACACAGUGCAUGGUGCCCAGCUGUACAAAGGGUUUGAAGACAGGGGGAAAACCUGACUGUGAUCUAGCAAUCAGUGAUGUGAUCUGAAGCUCUAAUGUUACACCCCAAGUAAAAAGUGUGAAGCCUAAAUAACGUAAUAGUAUCCCUAAAAACAUACCAGACAAGACUUAUAACUGUGUUAAAAUGUGCAGAAAACUGAAAUCUGAACAGUUGUAGUCUUACAAAACAGGUAGUUAAAAGGAGAAAUAGCUAUCACUAUUUUUCCUGUACAAACUAUAUAUUGUACACAACAGUAUCAUUAUUCAAGGAAUGAAAUUUAGAACACCCCAAAAAAGUCUUUUUGCACAUUUACAUAUUUUACAGAAUGCUACGGUUUCCUGCAGGAAACACUGCUCGCAACUUUCGGAACAGCUCCAUAAGUUUAAAGUGUCAAGUCAACUUUUUAAGCCAGAUUUCUCUUGCAGAAAACUUGCCAUUAACUAAGGAAUUUCAGAACAUCUGGAGGAUAGAGGAACACUGUCAAGCUGCCUAAAUCUAAAAUGUAGAUUGUUUAAAAAAAUAAAACUGGUGAUGAAUUAAUAAUAUUCCACGGACCCAACUGGCACCUGGUAUAACCAGGGACAGCAGUGUUGACUUCAACAGAGUUGCAUCUAUUCAUGCAAGAUAGAUUAAUCACCAGACUCCUAUUAGCCUCAAUAUUUUCAUGAUGUUUAUUAAAAAAUGUUAUUGGUGAAUUAAACGCUUCCCUAAACCGCAACUCAACAGCAUUCAACUGAUUUACGACAAGCCAAAGACUGAGAGAGACAACUCCAGUUGAAGUUGUCUAAAUGUAGUAAAAUACAAGCACUGAACCAAAGGCAGAAAUGGUUAAACCAAUUAUAUUUUUCAUCCCUUGGUACAAGUAAUUAGUUGGCUUGACAGAAGCUAUUAAAAAAAGUCUAUGGUUUUUAUUUUGACAGUGCUCCUCUACAACCACUAUACUUUUCAAGCAAUUCAAUAUUCUGU